rnacentral:rRNA from 1 species
UACAGAGGUCUCAAGCGUUGUUCGGAUUCAUUGGGCGUAAAGGGUGCGUAGGCGGCGCGGUAAGUCGGGUGUGAAAUCUUGGAGCUUAACUCCGAAACUGCAUUCGAUACUGCCGUGCUUGAGGACUGGAGAGGAGACUGGAAUUUACGGUGUAGCAGUGAAAUGCGUAGAUAUCGUGAGGAAGACCAGUGGCGAAGGCGGGUCUCUGGACAGUUCCUGACGCUGAGGCGCGAAGGCCAGGGGAGCAAACGGG